rnacentral:misc_RNA from 1 species
GGAAGUAAAAGUGUAACAAGGUUUCCGUAGGUGAACCUGCGGAAGGAUCAUUAUUGAAUGAAACACUUCUGGCUUUAUGCUGUUGUGCUGGCCCUUUGGGCAAUGUGCACACGGCUCUGGUCACUUGUUUCUUCUGUUCCACCUGUGCACUGCCUGUAGACACGCUGUGUCUAUGAUAUUUGUUAACACACAACAAUGUUAGUUGGCAUGUUAUAUAUAAUAAUAAAAUAUACAACUUUCAACAACGGAUCUCUUGGCUCUC